GUGGAGAGUAUUUUUAAUGAAGAGUGUUAUGGGUUUUGGUGAGUGAAAGCUUGGGAAAUCAAGCUUGGAAGCUUGAAUAUCAAUGGAGGAAAUGGGGACCAAGGGUGGCGGCACAAUGGAAAGAAAAGAAGAAGAUGGAGAGAAAAGGUUGGUGGGUUUUGUCAUCUUAUGGUAUAUAUAUAUUCUAUUUGUGUACUUUAAUUUUUUUAAUUUUUCAUAAGCCAUUUUUCUUUUCUUUUCCUUUCUUUUCUUUUCUUUUCUUUUCUUUUCUUUUCUUCUUUCUCUCCUCAUUUCCCUAAUUCAAAUUCAAUAAAAAUAUUUUAUGUUAAUUAUUUUAUUUUUCAAAAUUUUAAUUUGACAUUUAGAUUAAAAUUCACCUCUGGGGGUGAAAUGACCAAAAUGCCCUUCAUGGUGCAUAUCGGUUUAUUUUUAUUAUUUUAUUUUCUCAAAAUUUU
rnacentral:misc_RNA from 1 species